rfam:Myotis lucifugus cont2.7992, whole genome shotgun sequence.
CUCGGGGUGGGAGGUGGGGUUCUCAGCCCCGAUUGCAAGAGGGUGUAGGCCAGGCUGAGGGACCACACCGGUGCAUG